AGUGAACGCUGGCGGUAGGCCUAACACAUGCAAGUCGAACGGCAGCACAGUAAGAGCUUGCUCUUACGGGUGGCGAGUGGCGGACGGGUGAGGAAUACAUCGGAAUCUACUUUUUCGUGGGGGAUAACGUAGGGAAACUUACGCUAAUACCGCAUACGACCUACGGGUGAAAGCAGGGGAUCUUCGGACCUUGCGCGAUUGAAUGAGCCGAUGUCAGAUUAGCUAGUUGGCGGGGUAAAGGCCAACCAAGGCGACGAUCCGUAGCUGGUCUGAGAGGAUGAUCAGCCACACUGGAACUGAGACACGGUCCAGACUCCUACGGGAGGCAGCAGUGGGGAAUAUUGGACAAUGGGCGCAAGCCUGAUCCAGCCAUACCGCGUGGGUGAAGAAGGCCUUCGGGUUGUAAAGCCCUUUUGUUGGGAAAGAAAAGCAGCAGGUUAAUACCCCGCUGUUCUGACGGUACCCAAAGAAUAAGCACCGGCUAACUUCGUG
rnacentral:rRNA from 1 species